rnacentral:lncRNA from 1 species
AUUUAAGAUAUUGAUCUAAGGUUGGAUUUUUCUUCAUCUUCCUCCAGGCUAAGACCUGUAGCUGCUGCUGCCUCCCUCUAAGGAAGGUGAAGUGUUGGGACCGGCUCUUUCUCCACUCAUCUCCAUCACUACUAGCUAACUACUCUUCGAGCCUUGACAGUUUAAUCUGGUAGAAGAAAAGAUAGGUAGUAAAAACUUCUUACCUGACAGGUGACUUCCUUCCUUCUGGUCUGUCUGAUAAAGCUCUGUUUCCAGAUUUCUCACAAGGAAAUAUGGAUAACAAUUCCUGCCCCACUCAUCUCUUAGACACACAUCAAAGGAAGGAACAAGUAACAGAGUGCUUUGGAGUUGGAAGGGAAUAUAAUCAUCUCUAUAUCCUAGCAGAUGGUGCUGCGUUAGGAUAACUUGGAACUCAGAGCUUCUGCUGCUGGACAGGAGAGACGCAGCUGGGGGCAGACAGCAGGACCCCAGUCAUAUAUAUUCAAGGCACUUCCAAGAUCUAGCCUAG